UCAGCAUGUGAAUCCAAUGAAGUGCUGUAAAUGGUAAAGACAGUGACAAAGCUAAUGCUAUCUCCAACAUUAGAGGCAUUGGAAGGGGUUAGGAAAUGGGACUUGUUGAGAGCUUUAGAGCCUGAGCUUCAUGCAAAAACAUAAAUACAUUAGAGCAAUAAAACCAGAACUCAGAUGCAGGAAAGUGUUUCAUAUGCAAAGUAACCAACUAUAUCAAAGAUAUGGAAAUUGCAAAUCUAAAUCUUAAGGGCAGCAGCGUGACAAAUUAGCAUAUCAGAUGACAAAUUAGCAUAUCACGUAACAACUUAACAAGAACAUUACAAGAAACCUUGGCAUUGCAACCGAUUAGGCAAGCCUUGCCCAGCAGCAGGACCAAGAACCAGAUGAUCAGACUUUUUAUUUCG
rnacentral:misc_RNA from 1 species